rnacentral:rRNA from 1 species
GACGAACGCUGGCGGCGUGCUUAACACAUGCAAGUCGAACGGAAAGGCCCUGCUUUUGUGGGGUUCUCGAGUGGCGAACGGGUGAGUAACACGUGAGUAACCUGCCCUUGACUUUGGGAUAACUUCAGGAAACUGGGGCUAAUACCGGAUAGGAGCUCCUGCUGCAUGGGGGGGGUUGGAAAGUUUCGGCGGUUGGGGAUGGACUCGCGGCUUAUCAGCUUGUUGGUGGGGUAGUGGCUUACCAAGGCUUUGACGGGUAGCCGGCCUGGGAGGGUGACCGGCCACAUUGGGACUGAGAUACGGCCCAGAAUCCUACGGGAGGCAGCAGUGGGGAAUAUUGCACAAUGGGCGGAAGCCUGAUGCAGCAACGCCGCGUGCGGGAUGACGGCCUUCGGGUUGUAAACCGCUUUCGCCUGUGACGAAGCGUGAGUGACGGUAAUGGGUAAAGAAGCACCGGCUAACUACGUG